AAAGUUUGACAGACAAUCGCUGGCAGUGUUCGCACUGCGAGAGGAAAGUCCGGGCUCCAUAGGGCAGGGUGCUGGAUAACGUCCAGUCAGCGCGAGCUGAAGGAUAGUGCCACAGAAAUGGACCGCCGAUGGCGCUUAUGGCGCACAGGCAAGGGUGGAACCGUGGUGUAAGAGACCACGAGGGGUACUGGUGACUUUACCCCUGGUAAACCCCACUUGGAGCAAGACCUAAUGGGACGCGGUUUGCAGGCUCUGCCUGUAGACAGCCUUAGCCCGAGGCGCGUCUGGGUUGGUCGCUUGAGCUGUAUAGCAAUGUAUGGCCUAGAUAGAUGAUUGUCACUUCAAUGGUGGGAGGGUGUCGUAGCCCGCUGCACCACCGGAAGGACAGAACCCGGCUUACGGCAAGCUUUCCAU
rnacentral:RNase_P_RNA from 1 species